GCUUGGGAAUCUGCCCAGUAGUGGGGGACAACACGGGGAAACUCGUGCUAAUACCGCAUACGUCCUUCGGAGAAAGUAGGGGAGUCUUCGGACCUCACGCUAUUGGAUGAGCCCAACGUCGGAUUAGCUUGUUGGUGAGGUAAAAGACUCACCAAGGCGACGAUCCGUAGCUGGUCUGAGAGGACGAUCAGCCACACUGGGACUGAGACACGGCCCAGACUCCUACGGGAGGCAGCAGUGGGGAAUAUUGGACAAUGGGCGCAAGCCUGAUCCAGCAAUGCCGCGUGUGUGAAGAAGGCC
rnacentral:rRNA from 1 species